rnacentral:rRNA from 1 species
CCUACGGGAGGCAGCAGUCGAGAAUCAUUGACAAUGGGGGAAACCCUGAUGGUGCGACGCCGCGUGAGGGAAUGAAGGUCUUCGGAUUGUAAACCCCUGUCAUGUGGGAGCAAAAUAACAAGAUAGUACCACAAGAGGAAGAGACGGCUAACUCGGUGCCAGCAGCCGCGGUAAUACAGAGGUAUCAAGCGUUGUGCGGAAUCACUGGGCGUAAAGCGUGCGGAGGCUGUUUUGUAAGGCGGGUGUGAAAGGCGCGGGCUCAACCCGCGGGCUGCACAUGAUACUGCGAGACUAGAGUAAUGGAGGGGGAACCGGAAUUCUUGGUGUAGCAGUGAAAUGCGUAGAUAU